rnacentral:rRNA from 1 species
UACAGAGGUCUCAAGCGUUGUUCGGAAUCAUUGGGCGUAAAGGGUGCGUAGGCGGCCAAGUAAGUCAGUUGUGAAAGCCCCGGGCUCAACCCGGGAAGUGCUUCUGAUACUGCUUGGCUUGAGUAUUGGAGAGGUGAGUGGAAUUCCAGGUGUAGUGGUGAAAUACGUAGAUAUCUGGAGGAACACCGGCGGCGAAGGCGGCUCACUGGCCAUAUACUGACGCUGAAGCACGAAAGCGUGGGGAUCAAACAGG